rnacentral:rRNA from 1 species
AACGAACGCUGGCGGCAUGCCUAACACAUGCAAGUCGAACGAGACCUUCGGGUCUAGUGGCGCACGGGUGCGUAACGCGUGGGAACCUGCCCUUAGGUUCGGAAUAACUCCCCGAAAGGGGUGCUAAUACCGGAUAAUGUCUUCGGACCAAAGAUUUAUCGCCUUUGGAUGGGCACGCGUUGGAUUCGCUAGUUGGUAGGGUAAAAGCCUACCAAGGCGACGAUCCAUAGCUGGUCUGAGAGGAUGAUCAGCCACACUGGGACUGAGACACGGCCCAGACUCCUACGGGAGGCAGCAGUGGUGAAUAUUGUACAAUGGGCGAAAGCCUGAUCCAGCAAUGCCGCGUGAGUGAUGAAGGCCUUAGGGUUGUAAAGCUCUUUUACCCGGGAUGAUAAUGACAGUACCGGGAGAAUAAGCUCCGGCUAACUCCGUG